rnacentral:rRNA from 1 species
CAGCAGUCGCGGUUAGACUCUGGGCGGAUAACUUAAAUCUGCAGCAGAAGAAGGAGUAAACCCUAAUAAUCGCGGUAAAAUGUUUGUUGUAAGGGUCUCCCUUGAAGUCUUUUAAUUCGGGCUAGGCACAAGGAUUAGAUACCCUUUUAUUCCCGACUUUCCACGCAAAAGUAGUAGUUGGUACGGCCUCGAAAUUUAAAGGGUUUGGCGGCGCUCUACCCUAUUAGAGGAACCUGCUUAAUAACCGUCACUACGCGAUACACCUUACUCGGGUUUAGUUUGUAUACCGCCGUCUAAUUAAGUUCGGAAGAGCUAGGUCUAAGAGGCUACUAGAACGUCAGGUCGAGGUGCAGUUUGCCCGAGGGAACGCAGGUUACAGUGAUUUAACCCGCGGACUCUUUAUUGAAAGCAGGGGGGAAGAUGGAUUUAAUAGUUAUCGGGGGUUAGAAUACCCUGUUGAAGCGGCGCUAGAGCGUGC